UACGUAGGCAGCGAGCGUUGUUCGGAGUUACUGGGCGUAAAGGGUGUGUAGGCGGUUGUUUAAGGUUGGUGUGAAAUCUCCCGGCUCAACUGGGAGGGUGCGCCGAAUACUGAAUGACUUGGAGUGCGGGAGAGGAGAGUGGAAUUCCUGGUGUAGCGGUGAAAUGCGUAGAUAUCAGGAGGAACACCGGUGGCGAAGGCGGCUCACUGGCUCGAAACUGACGCUCAUGCACGACAGCGUGGGGAUCAAACAGG
rnacentral:rRNA from 1 species